rnacentral:rRNA from 1 species
AACGUGGAGACAGGUGGUGCAUGGCUGUCGUCAGCUCGUGUCGUGAGAUGUUGGGUUAAGUCCCGCAACGAGCGCAACCCUCACCCCUUGUUGCCAUCAGGUCACGCUGGGCACUCUAGGGGAACUGCCCCGGUCAACGGGGAGGAAGGUGGGGACGACGUCAAGUCAUCAUGCCCCUUACGCCCUGGGCUACACACGUGCUACAAUGGCCGGUACAAAGGGAUGCAAGACCGUGAGGUGGAGCUAAACCCAAAAAGCCGGUCUAAGUUCAGAUUGGAGUCUGCAACUCGACUCCAUGAAGGAGGAAUCGCUAGUAAUCGCGCAUCAGCACGGCGCGGUGAAUACGUUCCCGGGCCUUGUACACACCGCCCGUCACACCACGAAAGCCUGCUGUACUCGAAGUCGCUGAG